rnacentral:tRNA from 1 species
GGAUUAAGGAAAUCAAGAAAAAGCUUCUAACUUUAUUCUUAAGCAGUGAAAUCUGUUUUUAAUCCU